rnacentral:rRNA from 1 species
UCGACGCUUCCUUCGGUGAAGAGUGGCGAACGGGUGAGUAAUACAUAAGUAACCUGGCAUCUACAGGGGGAUAACUGAUGGAAACGUCAGCUAAGACCGCAUAGGUGUAGAGAUCGCAUGAACUCUAUAUGAAAAGUGCUACGGGACUGGUAGAUGAUGGACUUAUGGCGCAUUAGCUUGUUGGUAGGGUAACGGCCUACCAAGGCGACGAUGCGUAGCCGACCUGAGAGGGUGACCGGCCACACUGGGACUGAGACACGGCCCAGACUCCUACGGGAGGCAGCAGUAGGGAAUUUUCGGCAAUGGGGGAAACCCUGACCGAGCAACGCCGCGUGAAGGAAGAAGUAAUUCGUUAUGUAAACUUCUGUCAUAGAGGAAGAACGGUGGAUAUAGGGAAUGAUAUCCAAGUGACGGUACUCUAUAAGAAAGCCACGGCUAACUACGUGCCAGCAGCCGCGGUAAUACGUAGGUGGCGAGCGUUAUCCGGAAUUAUUGGGCGUAAAGAGGGAGCAGGCGGCACUAAGGGUCUGUGGUGAAAGAUCGAAGCUUAACUUCGGUAAGCCAUGGAAACCGUAGAGCUAGAGUGUGUGAGAGGAUCGUGGAAUUCCAUGUGUAGCGGUGAAAUGCGUAGAUAUAUGGAGGAA